AAACAGGAACCACUCUUAUUGGUUUAGGGAUAAGGACUGGCUCGCUUUUUAAGCUCAACAAAAAUGAACUGAAAACUGCACCCAAAGCCAAAAGAAAUCUACAGACUAACAGCAGACUGGAAAGCUGAAAAGUAAAUAAUGAUAAGACAAGGAAGCUGGCACACCAUGCAUGUAGAGCCCAGAAGGAGACGGAGAAGGAAAAGGAUGGAAGAAUUAAGGAGGAAGAGCUGGUGAUGGAUUCUCACAGUGAGCUGUACCUUGUAUGGAGAGUCAGUGCCCUGACCAGACGUUGAGGUGGCAUUUUGUGUAGAAAGCACACCAACUUUUAAUGAUUGUCUGUUGGCCGCCCAGCCAACCAGCACAACCAACAGUUCUGAAAUGUUUACAUCAUGCCAGUAUUAAGCUGAUCUCAUCUUUUGGUGAGAAUAUGUGGACUGUAAAGAACCAACCAUUCUUUCAAUUCUGGCAAGUAAAAAUCAAAGAGUCAACGAUCCAACUGGAGUUCUGCCAGAAGCUUAUUGAUGGCUAUUAAAAGUGGUAGAUCAAGGUAAACAGAGCUAAGGGUCACAAAAGAAAAUAUUGUUUGUGCUUUUUGUAUGUUUUAAUAGCAAAUUUUAAGCCAGGAAAGGCAGAAGUAGUGUACCACUGAU